ncrna:unclassified sequences Glutamine-II riboswitch (downstream peptide RNA)
GAACGUUCACCGGUUCACACCGGCGCACUUCUUCAGGCAGGGAACGGGGCCUGAG